GCCGGCAGCUAGCUCUCUUCAGCUCUCACUUGGUCGCCCACUGAAGCUAAGCAGGGCUGUGCCUGGUCAGCACCUGGAUGGGAGACCACAUGGGAAAGCUAGGUUGCUGCUGGAA
rnacentral:rRNA from 1 species